UUGUAGAGACAGGACAAAGCAGGGGAACAGGCAGAGCAUGGAUGGAGCUAUCAACACAACAAAGUGAGAGGAGAAAUCUGUUGAGGUUUUGCUCAUGCACUGCCUCUUCCCUGGCUCUGUCUCUAUUUCUCCUU
rfam:Cajanus cajan CcLG11_2755, whole genome shotgun sequence.